rfam:Thermoplasmatales archaeon BRNA1, complete genome.
UAGGCCGGAGCCGGGGACCCCCUCGGAAUGUCCAACGCCCAUGUCGCCGCCUCCGGAAUGGGAGGAGUGAGGACUGCGGGAGACCUCGUCGCACGCAUGG